GAGGGUAUGAUCCCGGCUCAGGGUGAACGCUAGCGGCGCGCCUAACACAUGCAAGUCGUGCGAUCGGACCCCGUGAAGCCCCUUCGGGGGCGGAACGGGGUUACGGAGCGGCGGACGGGUGAGUAACACGUAGCUAACCUGCCCCCGCGACGGGGAUAACCCGGGGAAACCCGGGCUAAUACCCGAUGGUCUUCCGGGGCCAAAAGGCCCUGGAAGUAAAGGCGCUUUUUGGCGCCGCGCGGGGAGGGGGCUGCGGCCCAUCAGCUAGACGGUGGGGUAACGGCCCACCGUGGCGAUGACGGGUAGGGGGCCUGAGAGGGUGGCCCCCCACAUGGGGACUGAGACACGGCCCUGACUCCUACGGGAGGCAGCAGUGGGGAAUCUUGGGCAAUGCCCGAAAGGGUGACCCAGCGACGCCGCGUGGGGGACGAAGCCCUUCGGGGUGUAAACCCCUUUUCUGGGGGAAGAAUAAGGCGGGGAGGAAAUGCCCCGCCGAUGACGGUACCCCAGGAAUAAGCCCCGGCUAACUACGUGCCAGCAGCCGCGGUAAGACGUAGGGGGCGAGCGUUACCCGGAUUCACUGGGCGUAAAGGGCGUCUAGGCGGUUCGGCAAGUCGCCUGUGAAAGCCCCUGGCUCAACUGGGGGAGGUCGGGCGAUACUGCCGGGCUAGAGGGCGGCAGAGGAAGGUGGAACGGCCAGAGUAGCGGUGAAAUGCGUAGAUACUGGCCGGUACCCCGAUGGCGAAGGCAACCUUCUGGGCCGUCCCUGACGCUGAAGCGCGAAAGCGUGGGGAGCGAACCGGAUUAGAUACCCGGGUAGUCCACGCCCUAAACGAUGUGGGCUAGGUGUCGGGCCGCAACUGGCUCGGUGCCGCAGCUAACGCGUUAAGCCCACCGCCUGGGGAGUACGGUCGCAAGGCUGAAACUCAAAGGAAUUGACGGGGGCCCGCACAAGCGGUGGAGUAUGUGGUUUAAUUCGAUGCAACGCGAAGAACCUUACCUGGGCUUGACAUCCUGCGAACCUGCUGGAAACAGUGGGGUGCCCUUCGGGGAACGCGGAGACAGGUGC
rnacentral:rRNA from 1 species